GACGGAGGGGGCAAGCGUUGUCCGGAAUCACUGGGCGUAAAGGGCGCGUAGGUGGCUUCGUGCGUCGGUGCUGAAAGCGCCGGGCUUAACCCGGCGAGGCGUGCCGAUACGACGAGGCUCGAGGCAGGGAGAGGGUAGCGGAAUUCCGGGUGUAGUGGUGAAAUGCGUAGAGAUCCGGAGGAACAUCAGUUGCGAAGGCGGCUCUCUGGACCAGCACUGACACUGAGGCACGAAAGCGUGGGGAGCAAACAGG
rnacentral:rRNA from 1 species